GGCGGUACUCGGGUGUUGCUCCCUGGAAUCAGGCUCCCUCCUCUCUAGUCCCGGGGUGCGUCACCUGAGAACCACC
rfam:Myotis brandtii contig260445, whole genome shotgun sequence.